GGGUUACCGUUUGUACAGCGGCCGUAAGCUGUGUUGUGGGCCCUGGGCAUGCCGGCCUAGUGGCAGGCCCGCUUCGAGGAAUUGACAGUUUAUCGAUGGAAAAGACGCCAACCGCACUCGUAGUGACAAUUUUUACGGUGACAGAUUCGGUCGCGACAGGAAAAUCUACCAUCCGGGACCGUGGCAGAACGUGAGACAAAAAAAAAAGAACAAGCCGCAACUUGAGCGAUUUUAAAUGACGGUGUAGCGAGUUAAACUGUUUCGUCUCCAAAUUCUGGUGUAUAAUUCUAAUCGUGUAUAGUGUGGGCUUAGCUUAUCCACGUUACCGAAACGGUAUCACAUUGCGGGCAGGAGUUUAGCAAAAUCCGAACUCGAAGUUUAGUUUUCAGAAAUCAAUGCAAAAUGGUAUCCGGGUUUUUGGGUAGCGUGGAAAGCCGAUGGCAUAUAGUAUACUGCAGUGUUUCCGCAAGUGGCGUCAAUGAUGAGCAGUUUUAAAAAUCUGAAGACAGGAAGCGAUUCAUGGCACACGGCCGAUGGGAACAUAAAUUCCUCCAGGCGCGCCAUAAAACGGCCUCUCGAAAUGAAACGACCGUUGUAAGGUUUUUGAGAUAGUGCGACGGGGUGACGUUGUGACCGUCUGUCGGCCGAUCGUGUUGAGUUGCUAAGAUGCGCCCGCCAAUCCCUAUCAAGAGAGACCGGCGCUUAUCAACUGUAUUCCGGGAACGAAACGGCACGUUGCAACGUGUCAUGAAAAAAAAUGAAACAUCAGUUCACCGUUGUGUUAAAUCAUUCGUCUCUUCCGGCAACUGCAGCAACUGCGAUGGUACCGUCAAGCGACGGAAACGAUGACAUUGUCCUGGGACAAAAUCCGACAUCCAGCGUGGUUCGUGUAGCCGUCACUAUCUACGCCCGGAGCCGUAGUUGGCCAUGUUCUUGUUCUAUCUUUCGCGCUUAUCAUUAUGCAUACAAACGAGCGCACAGACACACCAACACACACGGAGUAGGGUAAAUACUAAAUAGCAGCAACAUUACCUGGAUCGUCUGAUGAUGGCGACAAAAGCCUGAAACGCUGAAAGUCGGUUUAAAGUUCCCCCGGCGGUCCGUAGGUUGUUUCGGUAUCUCGAAACGAACCAAAUUUAUUUGCUCACAAUCCACACACCUAACCACCCUGUGCCGUUUUGUCCCCUAGCAUCCCAUCCAAACGAAGCGCGAGCAACACAUUUGAAUAAGGAUAAGGUCAUCACCGUUCGUCGGCCUUUUUUUCCUGUAGACUUUCGAUGACUCGGCUGCAUGGCUUGUGGAGUUGGGGGGAGAAAGGGGCAGUGGUAGCGAAACGCAAGGUAAGGGAACAGCUGCCUGGUGGCCAUUUUAUGAUGCGUAUGCGUGCGUGCAUUCGAGAAUGUUUGAAGAUUGCUUGCUCUUCCCUAUGCGAUGGGUUUUGCUGUACUGAUAAGAACACGGAUCGCACCGUAUCAAAGCUGCCGGCAGGACGCUUUUCCCUCUUUCGGGAACACGCAGCUAGGGUUUUAUGGCACAAUGCUCUGCAGAUGAUCGUAUGUUCCUAUAAGCGUGUGUGUGUGAUUGUAUUUAAGGAAAGGCAACGCAACAACCCAAUUUGUUCUUUGUGCGUGGCGUGGAGCGAGAGAAAGGCAACAGCGCGACGCCAUGACGCAGAUUGUCUUCUUUGCCUCGGCUGAGGCUGCCGUUUGUUUACCGAAAGUAUCAUAUAGCGAUAAUACGUGCCUCGAUGCGGAAGGAAAGUACGCUAAGAUUUCGCUUUCCCGUGUUCCCUUGCCUUAGCCGGCGCCGACGACAGCUGCCUGACCGGAGCAAGAUUCAUCCCAUCGUCGUCUUCGCUGACAAAACUUCUUUGUUUCUUCGACGAAAACUGCCAACUGGAUGGGUAGGCAAGAAAUUGCGGCAAAGCUUAGUCAUCAUUCGUACGAUCGAACCGUAUGUGUGUGUGUAUGUGCUAUACUCACAACGGUGGCCAAUAUGGCUGGUUGUCAGCCCAUAAUGGUUUCGGUAUGAAAUCUGGCACGGAUCCUUGGGUUCGUCCGCUUCCGGAUAAAACUUUUGCCACGCCAGCCAUUUUGUACGUACGGCUUGAUGCUGAGUCAAACCUAUCUUGGGUUUGCUGACGAAAGGCGGCCGACCGGGCGGUUGCAGUUACCCUCCCAGUACGGAGGAUACGCAAGAAGUUCUUCGACAAGAUUGAAGCGUAUCACUUACGCGUUUGCCAAGUGAUGGAUUAAAUGUGCAAAGCUUUGGUAAGCGUUGUUUGUGGCGCUCACGGGUAAAUGAAGGUAAACACAUGUAUGACCGAUCGAGCCUAAGGGAUGAUAAGAAGGGCGAAAUAAUGCUCAUCCCGCAUGGAGCCACAACGAGGCGCAAAGCUUUCCGUAAGAAAUGAUUCGAAUGGGCGAUUUACAUCAGACAAUGAGACUGAGAGAGUAAAAUAGUCUAUUAUUAAUUUUUGAUUUGGACAUUUAUUAUGAACGUUCGAAGUCUUUCUCUAAAUUAAAGAACUCAUAUAAAUAUUUGAUAUUAGAAAAAGUUCUCAUGAAAGAGCUAGAAAUCUCAUCUGGACUGUACCUUGAUACACAAAAAUGAGUAAAUAAAGUUGUGAAAAGUUUAAAAUGAUAGCCCAAGACAUCUUGAGGAUCUCUGGAACUGCUCACUUCCAGAAAUUAAUCGAUAAAAUAAGCAAGUGUUCUAAAUUUUGAAAUUGGAUUUUAUCAAACUUCUUCUUCUUCUUGGCUUUAACGACCUUACAGGUCACGCCGGCCAUUUCUGGCUUACUAGACUUAUUUUUACCACGUAGCCGGAUAGUCAGUCCUUACUUGUUUAUCCUUGUUUAGUCCUUGUUUUAUCAAACUAUAUUAAACUUUAACUAGACAUCAAGUAGAGAAAAACGCAUCAAAUUUGUGACUAUUUUGAACAAAUUAUUUAUUUCUUCAUUUAAAAAAUUAUAAACGAAUUCCUGAUACAAAUUGCAAACAAAUACCCAACUGUCUACAUCUGAAGACGACCUAUACAUACAUUGAUUGAACGAACGUGUUUACCUUCAUAUUCAAUCCUGUGUUUUAUAGCACAUCAUUAAACGUACAUGCCCGUCAUUAUCCAUCGAUAAACUUAUCAGUUCUUUUACAAAAUCUUCAUUCAAAAUUGUCUUAUCUAAUGAAUCCCCUAAAAUUACCACAAUCAGAUAUAUCAGUGGUUGUACAUUUAUGUUAACACAAGGGUUCUCUUCUACCUUCUGCCCAUUUUGCUGUUGUUGUUUAUCUUUAGCUGUUGUUGUUUGAUUGGGUUGUAAGUGAUAAUGGGUGGGUUUAUCAAAUCAAUCGCCACCGGUGGCGUGCCGCCAGUUUUGUGACAAACAUCACAAUCGAUGUGCGUGUGUUUUUUUUUAAAUGUUAUUAAAUUAACCAACGAAAGGAAACCGACAUAAACACAGGUAGCUUUCGCUAGUGUUGUUUUCUUUUUUGUUGAUUUGAUUCGAUUCAAUGGAGGUGGUAGAGUUGUUUGGUUUGUUUUGUUUUGUAAUCGUAACUUUCUUCUUUAUCUUUGCACACAAUUCCGACACGGUGUGCCUUACUGGCACCGGGCCACUAGGGUCAUGUAUUUAAAGAUUGACUAAUUUUGAUUUCGAUUCGAUCGAUAACUGACCGGAGACGUUAACCACCGAUACGAACUCCUAUCAGUGACGGUGCGUGACGUUUUGGCGAUUUUUGUGAUUUUCUUACUACCCUCUCUAUCGAUGGGUGUUUUCUUGUUCAGUUUUGGCACGCGACAUGCGUUUUUUUGUUGUUGUUUGGGGAGAAUGGGACAAACUUUAUCUAGGCAGCUAGUAAACGUGCGUAACCAUUUACCGACGGCAUUUGAUGGUUGAUUAUGAUGUGUUUAGAUUUAUUGUUACCGAUGAUAGCUUGAUUCGAUUCGUGGAAAUGGCACAUCGUGCAGGAUAAUAUUAGAGAUGAUAUUAUCGGGGCUCCCGGACACAAACAUCAUUUUACCAUUCAAACACACUAAACCACGAUUGAUACUGG